CAGCUCCCUGGGUCCUGCAGACCUGAUGGAGCUUGUUCAUCCCAGUUGGGAAACAGCUCUGCUCAUCCCCAUCCUUCCCAACUCUCAUGUGGGUCUUCUGGCUUGCAUUCUUAUCCAUGGAGAGCUGGUUAGGAAAGCUGGUGGAGAAAACCAUAGCUGGAUGGUAGAGAAGGACUGAGAUUCUUCAUCAAGAGACAGCAAGUUGCGAAUCACAGCCAUGGACACGCAGACUUGAUGGGCAGGGGACAGAGCUGCUGGUGAGUCUGCUGUCACAAGCUGGAGCCACACUUGGUUUUUGUGAGGAAGGAGGCACUGCAGACAACACCUGGCCCACCUGCAGCAAGAUAGAUCGUGGUGAGUGAGGCAUCAGAAGCACUUUCCUUCCUGCACAAAAGGCACCCUGUGAUGUGUGAAAUACAGACAGUCCCCUUUCAAUUGCUAUUUCUGCCAGCUUUUAUUUCUCUCAUUUGACUUACUGAUGUAAAAUCUUGCAAGCAUUAAAUCUGUUGAAUGGG